AACGAACGCUGGCGGCGUGCUUAACACAUGCAAGUCGAGCGUGAAAGUCCCUUCGGGGGCAAGUAAAGCGGCGGACGGGUGAGUAAUACAUAGGUAAUCUACCUUCGAGAUUGGGAUAACCCCGCGAAAGUGGGGCUAAUACCGGAUAAGACCACAUGGCUCAGGUCGUGCGGUCAAAGGUGGCUUGUAUUUAUACGGGCUAUCACUUGAGGAUGAGCCUAUGGCCUAUCAGCUUGUUGGCGGGUAAGAGCCCACCAAGGCUAUGACGGGUAGCUGGUCUGAGAGGACGACCAGCCACACUGGGACUGAGACACGGCCCAGACUCCUACGGGAGGCAG
rnacentral:rRNA from 1 species